ACUUUACCGACCGUGUUACGAAUUGUACACUUUAGUCGAUGUGUUUACCGACAGUUGGUAUUGCAGAUUUUCCCUUAGCUACGACGUAGCAAGUUGGGAUUGGUUUGUGACGUGGCAAUAGAGGCUAUGGGCAUAGAGUUGGAUCCUAUCGGAAUUGUCAAUGGAAGUUUGUCACAUGGUUUCGUAGUGCUGGUUGGAUUCGUAAACAUUUGUGGUAUUUGUGAACUUUUGACCUCUUCGAUUAAAAUGCAAUGCAUUCAUAGUUGAUGCAAGCUAUGGAUCCAAUGAUAUCCGGUUGCGUAAUUUGGUGGUAUAAAAAACAAAGAACGACGUUAAGAAGUGAAUCGCACGUGUGUUGUGAUAUGAAAUUUAGAGUGUACAAAACGGGUGAUUAAAAUAUUAUUGAUAAACCAUGUACGGGUGAUUCGAUACGUUGAUCAAUGAGGAUUCAAGGCUAAAUAUUGAUAAAACGUAAAGGUGUACGAAGAAAGAUAACAUUUAUGAUAAAACAAGCAACAGAAUGAGACUGGGUACAAAAAUACCAAAUUUCGAGGCCUAUACUACUAAGGGAAAAAUUCAUUUUCAUAAUUGGUCGGGUAAUUCAUGGGUACUGAUGUUUUCGCAUCCGGCAGAUUUUACGCCCGUUUGCACUACGGAAUUGGGCAGACUUGCGGAACGGGCUGAGGAAUUCAAAAGGAGGGGAGUUAAAUUACUUGGUCAUUCGUGCGAUUCCUUGGAAUCGCAUUUGGUCUGGAUUAAGGAUAUACAGGCGAAAUACAGAAGAAUUCCAAAGGUAUUCCCAUAUCCAAUAAUUGGAGAUGAAACACGUGAAAUUGCGGAAAUGCUUGACAUGGUAGACGAGCGAGAACCUUCAAGCCGUGGUGUGAGAGCAGUUUUGGUGAUUGAUCCUCAAAAAAUUCUACGACUCUUUUUACUUUAUCCAGACACCACAGGAAGAAAUAUAGAUGAAAUUUUUCGCGUGAUACAAGCGUUACAAUUGUCAAGCAGAGCUCCAGUUGCUACGCCAGUUGAUUGGCAGCCAGGGGAUGAAGUCCUUGUAUGUCCAAACGUGCCAGAAUCAGAGGAAGCACGACUUUUUCCACAUGGAGUUCAACAUGUUGCUAUGCCAAGUGGUCUCGCCUACAUUAGAUACACGAGCGAUUACCUAGCGCCACAUGAAUGUUGGGAAUGAUUGAAAAUCGAUUUUCCAAUCGAUAGUUUCAAUAAUCAAUAUCUAAUUACCAAUGAAGAACAAGCUAUAGCUUUUUGCUUUCAGAAAAACUAAAUUUAUUCGAAAGUCCCUAAGAAAAUUGAAUAGGCGCUGCUGCAUGACAUUUUUGGCACACCAUGCAAAAAUCGAGUCAACAAACACGAUCAUCUCCAGGGACGUGGGUGUUUCGCAGAGGAGUUUGCUUCGUGAAAGCGGACGAUGAAGAAGGAAAGGAGAAUCUACGAGAAUAGCACUUUAACCCCGCAGCCUAUCCUGAACGUCAUAAUCGUCUACGUCCAGGAUGUAAGGGUCAAUCUCACCGAGGAGACUAUCAUGGAUGACCCAGAACCCAGGAUGCUCUCAGUUUAUCUUUCGAAACGAGGCUGUUCUCCAGACUGGAAUUUCCGUAGCAUCCAGUCAUACUUGAAUCUUUCUUCUCUGUUUUUACUAUAUCUCUCUCGCUCCGUCCGUACACUACGUAACUAUAUUCGCUAUCUUAGCGUAGCGUGCUGAGCCAAUAUGGCGGAGCCAAAGAUGCUACCCGUUUAUGGGCAAUAAACAGAGACUUACGGCACAACCCGCUAUUUGUUUUGUCGUGUCAGCAAUGUCUAGGAAUGCACUAGGAUGGAUCUGUACCCAGUACCAUUGAAGAUACUAUGGUUACGCGACCCUUGUCUAUGAUAUCCUACGAAAAAGAUUAUUUUUAUCAGUCUCGUGUGGAUUUCUAGCUUCGUUUAAUAUUUCAACGUUAUAGUCGUCAUGCCAAUACUUUAUGAUCCGCAUUUGCGAUUUAGUACCCACGCCGUUGUUUAACUUACCGACUUUGAAUACGUCGUCUAAAUUAAAACAGCUGAGAAACUUUACAAUCUGUAGCUGCACGUUAACGGAAAUGCGUGUUACGUACUGUAAAGUUUUGUUCGAACUACUGCCGCUAGGGGCGCCGCGGGCACGACGCUAGCGGUAGACGUGAGUAGUCGUAAAGUGACGAGAAUUUACAGAGAAGUACAGAGACAAGACUAGAGACGCGUGAGCUUCUUUCGGCGUGCAAUUAACGAAAGUGCUGUAAUUAAAGAGUGACGAGUCUGUUUGUAUAGAACGAUGUGAAUUGUACGAAGUAGUGGUGAAAGUGUCAAUGGUCGAGUGUUUACAGUUCGUGCGAGUAAAUGAAGCAUCUGAUCCUAGAAUCCAGGAUACUUUUAUUGCGAUGGCUACGCCAUGACAGGAGUGCUGGAUAUAUUUCAAUACCUGAGACCCAGUCCGUCUGCGAAACUUCGGAAAACGAGCUUGCAGGAGUUACAAAUCCCAGACUUACAUAAUACAUACAAUACAUACAAUACAUAAGAUUAAUUUACGUAUAAAUUAGAAAAAAUGUAACAAAUGCCAAUUUAAAAAAAAAACCAUUGAAAAUUGAAAUUUAUAUAACACAAUGGCAACUGUCAGUUACUAUUGGCAACGACGAACAGCAGAACAAUCGACUUGCAAGCGGCGUGCAUUUGGACAUAGAACAAUGGCAGAUUUCGCAAGUUCUCGCUGACAAUACGCUGGAAAACUCGAGGAUGAUUUCCGGGUCGAGAGCGGCUCGUCCAGUUCCUGAACCAGCAGACUAUUUCCUCCUGACACACUCGCAGGACUCAGGAGCCAAAAUCCUUUUGAAGGGACGAUAAAACAAGUCGCCCAGUAUAAAUUACCUGGUUGCACAGACAAGAAAUCAUUUGCCGUCGGAUCGCGUCCCUUUUGGGAUAAAGGCUAUUUCACAGGCUGCGUUUCCCACAAUUCAAAAGCACCCGUGGCCUACGUGAUAGACAGAUGAAGAUGGGGACGAGAGAGGACAAUAUCGGAAAUUAGCAGUAAAAACAGGCAGCAGAACAUCGCCGUGCAAGCUCGCAUAAAGUGCUACCACCAUCGCGCUGGAUCGACUCGAUUUUCGUAGACGCCCAGCGUCGGAAAAGGGUGUACGAGGUAUUCCUGUAGGAACGACUACGACUUGAGAAUCCUCAACGAGUAUCGAGCCACUCGGUUGUGACGAUGACACUCCUGGAGGUCGUCGCCGUCGUCGCUGCUGACAGGGAACGACAGUAGUACUUGUAAACCAUGGAAGGAAGAAGUGGGCGUCGGCGUAAAGAGCGUCUCUUUGACUUUUGGCGUACGUAACAACGGAUUGUCAAGUGGGUAGAGUCUUAAGCGCGACCUAACUCCUUUUGUCGUACUGGGAUAAGUAUUAGGAACGUCUUCGUAGUUAAUUGCAUGGCGUGAAUAAAGAAUUAAAGUCGAGGGACUCGCCCGAGAAA